ACCAGCUUUCCGUAGGUGACGUGCGUAAGGAUCAUUA
rnacentral:rRNA from 1 species